GACGAACGCUGGCGGCGUGCUUAACACAUGCAAGUCGAACGGAAAGGCCCUGCUGUUGUGGGGUGCUCGAGUGGCGAACGGGUGAGUAACACGUGAGUAACCUGCCCUUGACUUUGGGAUAACUUAAGGAAACGGGGGCAAAUACCGGAUAGGAGCUCCUGCGGCAUGGUGGGGGUGGGAAAGUUUCGGCGGUUGGGGAUGGACUCGCGGCUUAUCAGCUUGUGGGUGGGGUAGUGGCUUACCAAGGCUUUGACGGGUAGCCGGCCUGAGAGGGUGACCGGCCACAUUGGGACUGAGAUACGGCCCAGACUCCUACGGGAGGCAGCAGUGGGGAAUAUUGCACAAUGGGCGGAAGCCUGAUGCAGCAACGCCGCGUGCGGGAUGACGGCCUUCGGGUUGUAAACCGCUUUCGCCUGUGACGAAGCGUGAGUGACGGUAAUGGGUAAAGAAGCACCGGCUAACUACGUG
rnacentral:rRNA from 1 species